rnacentral:rRNA from 1 species
CGCGCAGGUGGUUGAUUAAGUCUGAUGUGAAAAGCCCACGGCUUAACCGUGGAGGGUCAUUGGAAACUGGUCGACUUGAGUGCAGAAGAGGGAAGUGGAAUUCCAUGUGUAGCGGUGAAAUGCGUAGAGAUAUGGAGGAACACCAGUGGCGAAGGCGGCUUCCUGGUCUGUAACUGACACUGAGGCGCGAAAGCGUGGGGAGCAAACA